GGUGAUUAGUGACAGAGUGAGUGAGGGGGUGACUAGUGACAGAGUGAGGGAGCGGGUGACACAGUGACAGAGUUAGGGAGGGAGUGACUAGUGACAGAGAGAGGGAUGGGGUGACUAGUGACAGUCACCCCCUCCCUCACUCUGUCACCAGUCAUCCCCUCACUCUGUCACUAGUCACCUCUUCCCUCCCUCACUUUGCCACUAGUCAUCUCUUUCCUCCCUCACUCUGCCACUAGUCACCCAUUCCCUAACUCUGUCACUAGUCACCCCCUCUCCAUCCCUCUGUCACUAGUCACCCACUCCCUCACUCUGUCACCAGUCACCCCCACUCACUGUGUCUUCCCCUCACUCUAACAA